GAGUACGGGGUUCUAGUGGAGCUCGACUAGAACCCUGCAAUGGUACAAACCCUGAUUGUGUUACCAGGGCCUUUG
rfam:Ferret coronavirus isolate FRCoV-NL-2010, complete genome.